CUAAGAAUAUUCCGCAAUGGACGAAAGUCUGACGGAGCGACGCCGCGUGGAUGAGGAAGGCCGAAAGGUUGUAAAAUCCUUUUGCGGAUGAAGAAUAAGCGGGGCAGGGAAUGGCCUCGUGAUGACGCUAGUCCGUGAAUAAGCCCCGGCUAAUUACGUGCCAGCAGCCGCGGUAACACGUAAGGGGCGAGCGUUGUUCGGAAUUAUUGGGCGUAAAGGGCGCGUAGGCGGCCGUGUAAGUCUGAUGUGAAAUAUCCGGGCUCAACCCGGGGACUGCAUUGGAAACUGUAUGGCUUGAGUCACGGAGGGGGAAUCGGAAUUCCUGGUGUAGGGGUGAAAUCUGUAGAUAUCAGGAAGAACACCGGUGGCGAAGGCGGAUUUCCAGCCGAUGACUGACGCUGAGGCGCGAAAGUGCGGGGAGCAAACAGGAUUAGAUACCCUGGUAGUCCGCACUAUAAACGAUGCACACUAGGUGUCGGGGCGAGCGUCUCGGCGCCGGAGCAAACGCGAUAAGUGUGCCGCCU
rnacentral:rRNA from 1 species